rnacentral:rRNA from 1 species
UACGAAGGGUGCAAACGUUGCUCGGAACUAUUGGGCGUAAAGCGCACGUAGGCGGCCUUGUAAGUCGGAUGUGAAAUCCCUCGGCUUAACCGAGGACGUGCAUCCGAAACUGUGAGGCUCGAGUAUGGAAGAGGGUCGCAGAAUUCCCGGUGUAGAGGUGAAAUUCGUAGAUAUCGGGAGGAAUACCAGUGGCGAAGGCGGCGACCUGGGCCAAUACUGACGCUGAGGUGCGAAAGCGUGGGGAGCAAACAGG